UGCAGUGCUAUGCACACUUUUCACAGCUAAACCCCUGAAAACUGAGAGAUUGACAAAGGGGCCCAAACGUGAGGAGUAUUCAUUAAAAGAUGCAAGCAGCCAGAAUCUGUGCUGUUUUGUUUCAGUCUCCUUUAUCCCGUUGAAAACAGGGAAGCCUCCUGUCAUGCAGACUCAGAGAUUCUCAAGGCCCAAUAAAGAGUUGCACUGUGGAUGCAUCCUGCAAAUUCAAAGAAACAGACCCACCCUGCCACCUGCAGUGGUUGUCCAGAAAGGAAUAAGCCAUCAGAUCGAAAAGGUUUCCUGUUACUGAUGUAGAUGAAUGUGUACCAGAGCUUCCAUCACUGGGCAUCUUCUGAGGCUGACAACUCAGCAAACAGCUCAUUGCUGAGCCCGGAAGUUGCACAGUUCUGGCCCUGCUGCUGCUGCUCCUCUUACCGUUGCCUGUUCACCUACCAUCUCUGAGUGAGGAGUGACAGAGGGGAAGGACCAGCAGCUUCUGCUCACCUCUAAGUGGCCGCAUGGAUUGCCAUAGUUCCAGAAGGAAAGAGAAAUGAAUGGCCAGCAGUGAGAAGAAGGUGGAUCCUCAGAACCCCUGGAACCAGUUCUGAGGCGCUUGUACUUCCUCCCAAAGAAUUGUGUCUCAGGCUGCCGCAUUAGUUGGCUCACCGCUCCCAACAACAUCUUUUCUUUAUGCCCCAAUAUUCAAAAGCCCUCAGCCGACUGCUCUUGAAUGCAUUAAGCAGGGCAAAGUGGUGGGCUGGGACAAUGGCUUAUGUGCAUAGAGCAAAUGGAGAGAGGAGGGGAGAGUGGAGCUGUUCAGAAAUAAGUGAAUAUAAUGGGUUUUUAAAAUCCAGUAUGUUUCCAGAAUUAACGGUGAAAUCGACCACUUUUUCUGAAGUAACUGUUAUAAUCAGAGACAGUAGGAGGUGGCAUAUGCCUCGCCAUAGGCUGCAUGCUGCUGCCCUAAGAUAUCAAAGUCCUAAUGUUUAGCAGCAGAAGUAAAAUGGCGAAACUCGCGCUUUCCCACAGCUUUCAAGACUGCCAAAGUAUAUAUUUGUUUUGAUGGUU